rnacentral:rRNA from 1 species
UACGUAGGGUGCAAGCGUUGUCCGGAAUUAUUGGGCGUAAAGAGCUCGUAGGCGGUCUGUCACGUCGGAUGUGAAAAUCCAGGGCUUAACCCUGGACCUGCAUUCGAUACGGGCAGACUAGAGUUCGGUAGGGGAGACUGGAAUUCCUGGUGUAGCGGUGAAAUGCGCAGAUAUCAGGAGGAACACCGGUGGCGAAGGCGGGUCUCUGGGCAUUAACUGACGCUGAGGAGCGAAAGCAUGGGGAGCGAACAGG